rnacentral:lncRNA from 1 species
AGACUUGCCCAACUGUAUUCGCAAGUCCAUCAAACCCUCCAAAGAAACAAACAACAGCCUAAUAACACAAUAACAAAGAACUUUACAAUGGCCAAACUUGAUGCUGCACUCUAGAAAUAAUUUCCUAAAUAGGCUUCAAAUAGCCGCCAACAGAUAGUAUCAAGUCACAAAUUGGUCAAGCAACAAUUCAACUCAUUGCUGCAGUCAUAGGCAGUUUCCAGAAUCAAGAAAAAAUUAGCAAUAAACAGAUUCGUCUCAAACCUGACCAAAGAGGGUUACAGUUUCUGUUUGGAGGAUUUUCUUCUUGGAAAAAUGGUCCUAUAAUAAGGCGACCACCACAAGUCAACCGGAGAUGCCAAACAGAUUUUGUAACAGAGAGCCGGACCAAGAUUUGUCCACUCACGCGCCUUCACGCGCUCUUCGGACUGGGUUGUCUCCGCCAGCUUGAACGACGCGUGUGAUUCACGCACUUCUCCUCUGGAAACCGGCUUCUGGGGUUUUGUAGAUCGGGGUAAGAUGGUCGUUCUUAGGUUGGUGGCGGCAGCUAAAUUUCAUUUACAUACUGAGCCAAUUCCGGCAAGCUUUCUGAGGUAACUCGGAAAAAUGUUUUCUAACACCAUUUAAAGAUAUGGCACCUAAGGUGAGCAGAGAAUUGUUCAAGUCUAUAAGCAGACUGCCCAUUUAUUUUUCAAUCAAUGUGAAACUUUAACCUAGUCUAACCAUCAUUAUUAUUAUUAUUAUUAUAGAGAGGCCAAUCAAGUUGCGGAUGGACUUGCUACGGAAUCAACAAAAUUGAUUCUGUGUGUUUUAUUUUGAUACUAGUCUGUGAGAGUUUUAUCUUGUCAAAUCCUUGAUUGUUUCUCUUCCAUCUUUCCCUUCGUUUGUUCAAUCUUUCAUCUUGCGCCUUCAAUCACGUGCCUUCCUACAUAGUUGUUUUACCCACGAGAUAAGGGGAAAGUGUUGUGGUACCGAUUGUAACAGUCCAAUUGAACCAAGAUAGUAAUAUUGAUAUGUAAUUAGAGAAAAUAGAGAUAGUUUACUGAUGUCAAUUCCAAACACUGAAAUUACAACGAAACGAAACAACAACUGAAAGAAAAUGAUUGAGAUGUCAAAUUAACUAACUCGACAUUGGGGCUUCCAUGAAAGAAUUCAUGAGAUCGCCAUAGAAAUGCAUCAUAUAUGUGAAUUGCUGCUUCCCUCCUCAGCUAUGCAGUCAUGUGUAGUUUAAAUUAUUUCAACUAAGCUUCAUUCUUGAAUAUGUAAUGAAAAGCUGUGUCUGUCAUUUGUGAGCAAUGCUCAUAAUAAGAGUUAAAAGUUGAAGGGGCUUAGACAUGAUGACCAUAUGGUCAGAGUCCUCGAUCUCUUUCACUUCAUCAGGUGGAUUCUUUUCAAUCAUCUGCCUUUGAAAUUCCUUCUUUAGAAAUUUAUCUUUAGCAGCAAUAAUGAACACUCGUCUAACUGAUCCAUACCUUUUGCUUGAAAGAUCUAUCUCCUUAGCAACAUCUUCCACACUGUAUAAGUAUAGCGGCCUUACUAGUGUAGUGGCCAACGUCAAAUCCUAACACCAAGAAGGAAAAAUAAACUAAUUUAAAUCAGUUACUUUCCAUGUCCAUGACCAGAAUAACAAGACUUUGCUAUUUCAUGUAUAUAUCUAUGUUAUGCUUUACUUACCUCAAUUGGGCUCAGAUGGUAAACAUUAGUGGCCAAAUACUUUGGAUCAUCAAGGAAGGUGGUUGGAGGAUUGGUAGGUCCAUUAUCAUAUGUCACACGAUUAUCAAGUGCAGAUAAUACUCCCCUAGAUGACUAUAACAAAGUAUAUUUAGUUUCAAACAUUUAAAAAGUGUAAGCUAACAUAUAUAACAGAUCAUCCCCAUGGCAAAAAAUUGAGAAUACAUAUGAGAAAUUGAUACCUCCAUGUAGACAGUGGUUGCAUUGAGAGUUGGACCAGGCAUUAGAGCAGUGACAAAUACAGCAACUGAAAUCUUUUCGAGAAAACUUUCCAUGGCUUUAGAUAUGGCUAACCCACCAUGGCUAUGGCCAACAAGAACCACUUUUUCAUGUGCUGGAAGAGAAGCCAUGAACUUCAUUAGUGGACUAAAGUAAUCGGAUAAAUGUUGGACUUGGAGGACCUGCUUAGGGUUGAUUCCUGAAGCACCCAAGUCAAUAGCUGUGACAUUAUGUCCUGAAGAUCUCAUUAAUGCCACAAUCUUGUACCAAGACCAGGCUCCAUUGCCUGCCUUGUGAACUAGCACAAAGUGCUUGCUAGCUUUAGGAAAUUUAGACCCUGACAAGGUUGCAUUUACAUAUGGCAACAGAAGUAUUAGAACUACUAGACUUGUUAGAUACAUAUUUUUCUCCAUGUCUUUGUAUCCUUCUUUUGAAGAAUGAGCACAUAAAGGUUUCUUAACGGAUGUGUCAAGUUAAUAUGGCCCUAGUAAAAUGAAACCGAGGGAGAAGAUGAAGAAAUUGAAUUGAUUCAUGAUGGUAUUUAUAGCUUUGGAAAAAGGAAUUGCAUUUCGUGUUUGAGCAUUUUAAAAAAAAUAAAUUAAAGUGCACGUAGCAUACAAUCUUUAAUGAAAGGUGGCAUUUAGAUUUUAGUUCCUCCUAACCUAAAUUUUCGGCUAGCUAGCUAGGACCAAGUUUUGGUAACAGUGAUAAAUAAAAAGUGUAAGGAUUUAAUUGUUGAGAAAAGUAUGAGCUUGAAGAGAAAGAGGGUCCUGGGAGGGGGUAAGAGUGGCUAUAAUUUUAAUGGUUCGACUCACAUAGACCUCCUUACACUCUGCUACUAUGACCUGCAUUUGUACACAAUAACUCCCAGUUCCUGCACUGUUUAUUCAUUUAUAAAGUUGUGGAUUGAGGUAAAUGGCAUCAACGAGCUUUUGCUCAUCUACAGCAUAUUCCUCAUUCAUAUUGUCCUCCUCCCCAUUGACGAGAUUUAACUGUUUGGUCUUGAACUAAAUUUAAGUAAUUACAGGAAAUUGAGGUCCUUUAUUGAUGUAAAUUUCAAACACUGAAAUAACAAUGAAGGAAAUAACAACCGAAAGAAAAUUGAAAUAUCAAAUUAACUAGGACUUCUAUGGAAGAAACUGAGUCGUCAUAUAAAUGCAUCAAAUAUGUGAAUUGACUGAAGUUUUAUUCUCAGCCUUAAGCCUGUCCCCCUUAUUCUUCUUAACUAACAGCUCUUAAUUAGCUAUACUUGUUGGCAAUGCUCAGAAGAGUAGUAAAAAGUUGUUUGGGCUUAGACAUAAUCAUCAUGUGGUCGGAGCCCUGGAUCUCUUCCACUUCAUUUGAUGGAUUCUUUUCAAUCAUCAAUUUUAGAAAUUCCUUUGUCAGGGCAUUAUUUUCAGCAGCAACAAUAAACACUCGCCUAACUAAUCCAUAUCUUUUCCUUGUAAGAACUAUCUCCUUAGAAACAUCUUCCGCGUUGUAUAAAUAAAAUGGCCUUACUAGUGUAGUGGCCAGUGCCAAAUCCUAACACCAAGAAGGAAAAACAUGAUUUAAAUUAGGCUUAGUUGAUGUUGCGGGUUAAGUACUUGAAUAGAUCUGUAAUUUGUAUAAACUACUGAAAUCUUCCAAUAGCCAAUAGGUGAUGCCUACUAGUAAUUGUUUGCCAAAGAAGUCAGUCAGUCAUUUAGGGCCAUUCUCAUGACCAGAAUAACAUAAUGUAUUCGCUACUUCAAUUACAAUAUAAAUUUGUAUUAUGAUUUGCUUACCUCAUUCGAACUCAGCUGGUAAAAAUUAGUUGCCAAGUACUUUGGACCUGAGAUGAGGGUGGUUGGAGGAUUUGUAGGUCCAUUGUCGUAUGUAACAUGAUUAUCAAGUUGAGUGCUUACUGCACUGACUACCUAUAACGAAGUAUAUUUAGUUUCAACCAUGUAAAAGUUUAAACAAACUUAAUAGAUCAUCUCAUGGCUUAAAGUUGGGAAUAUGGAAAAUUGAUACCAUAGUGUAAAGGGUGGCUGCAUUGAUAUUUGGACCAGGCAUUAGAGCAGUGACAAAUACAGCAACUGAAAUCUUUUCUGGGAAAGUUUCCAUGGCUUUAGAAAUGACGAGUCCACCAAAGGCAUGACCUACAAGAACUAUUUUUUUAUCUGCGGGAAGUGAAGCCAUGAACUCCAUUAGCGGACUCAAGUAAUCAGAAAAAAAUGGGAUUUCAAGGGCCUGUUUGGGGUUGAUCCCUGAAGCACCCAAGUCAAGAGCUGUUACAUUAUGCCCCGAAGAUCUCAUCAAUGCCACAAUCUUGUACCAGGACCAUGCUCCGUGGAAUGCCGUAUGAACUAGCACAAAAUGCUUCUUAUCUUUAGGGGGUGAUGAAAAGGUUGCAUUUGCAUAGGGCAACAGAGACUCGCUUUUCUCCAUAUCUUUUGAAGGAUAUGAGCACAUAAUAUGAACUAUUACAUGGCAACUUUAUAAUAGGAGGAGUUAGGUUUCUGCCAACUUACUUUCUAUUUUUGGAGGAGUUUUGACUCUUGCCAAUUUACUUCUAUGCAGGAGCAACCCUACAUUAGCUAUUAUUUGCACUAGUU